rnacentral:lncRNA from 1 species
GAAUCCAGUUAAAAAGGCGGGAGAAGUCUAUGCUAUAUCCCAAAGAGGAAACUGAAUUGUGGUCUCUGACUUGACAGGCAGAGAUAGAAACCGCUAUUAUGCUGUUUUACUGUUCAUUUUCUUAAUAUUUUGAGCCACUUGGUGUAAAUUUUGUGGGGAAGUGGCAUAGAAUUGAUUCUAAUGAACGUUUAUGAGAAAACCCAACAAUCAAGGGUGUUUUAUGACUCAAGGGUCGGGUGUCCUGGCAUUGAUGCUUCUUAGUAAGAAAGAAUAACAAUGCGAAGCAUCAAAGUUAAAUGCUCCCUCAUUACUUCUUCUCCUUCCCUACCAGGAAUAAGUUUCCAAGACUCUUUUGAAGAUUUACUUCCUAGAAACCCCAAAUAACUGGAGGCUGUAACACAAGACCUGGAUUGCCGGGUGGAGCCUGCCUUCAUAAUGUUUCAUAACAAAAAAGCAACUAUUUAUUCCUCAGGAACAACAUCUACAUCCCUGGUUAUUGUGAGAGACAAACCAGCAAUUGCAGCAAACGCUCUUAAAAUUUUACCCCGCUUCUCGCCAAUUUCUAUUCAUUCUAUCUGCUAGCACUACAUCAAUCAACAGGUCUGUUUUGCUAUUUCUAUUUAAAAGUAACAUUGACCAAAAAAAGUGCUUAUAUUAUUUAUAGAAGCUGGCAUGGGGUAAGAAAGCAAAACUUCAACCCUAAUCCCAUUUACCAGUGAGUAAAGCGAGAUGGGGCGCAGGUGGUGCUGUGGGUUAAACCACAGAGCCUAGGACUUGCCGAUCAGAAGGUCAGCGGUUCAAAUCCCUGCGGCAGGGUGAGCUCCCAUUGCUUGGUCCCUGCUCCUGCCAACCUAGCAGUUCAAAAGCACGUCAAAGUGCAAGUAGAUAAAUAGGUACCGCUCCAGCGGGAAGGUAAAGGGCGUUUCCGUGUGCUGCUCUGGUUCGCCAGAAGCGGCUUAGUCAUGCUGGCCAGAUGCUGUACGCUAGCUCCCUCGGCCAAUAAAGCGAGAUGAGCGCCGCAACCCCAGAGUCGGUCACGACUGGACCAAAUGGUCAGGGUUCCCUUUACCUUUAAACCUUUUUUAGUUCAGUAGUGCUUAUUUCUGAGUCAACAUGAAUAGGAUUCACUGUGUCUGCUUGAACCUAUCCCAAGCUGUUGUACAGAAACCCUAAAUGUAACAUUUCUGUCUACGUGUCUGUGCUUUUUAAUCUCACUGCUCUGUGCACAAUCAGUUUAAGCCACUCAAAGGCAACUUAAACAUAUAUAAUUGUGAUGACACAUUGCAAAGAAUGAUCCAAUGCUAACACUGCAGUAAUAGUACCUGCUCCAGGGAGAGAACAGUUUGAGUUUCAACAUUGUUGUUGCGGUCAAAAGGGCUUGAGACAUAAAUACUUUAUUAUUAUCAGGGCCGGAUUUACGUUUGAUGAGGCCCUUUAUAUGUCCAGCUGUCCUUUGUCAACAACAAAUUGUCACUGUUUUUUGUGUUGAAUAUAUGCUAUAUGGUAAUUUAUGGACCUAAUAGGUAUCUAAAGCCAUUUGCCAUUGUUGCUGUAUGUAGGUUUUAUUUUAUUUGUUUUUUAUCUUAUAUUCUGGAAAUGUACAACUAGGUUUUUUUCCCUUUAAAUUUUUUUUGGGCCCCCAAGAGAGUGGGGCCCUCAGCAAUAGCUUGUUUAGCUUAUACGUAAACACGGCACUGAUUAUUAUUAUUAAAAAAACCAAUCAAGACUUCAUAUUUUUGUAAGUUUCAAAACAACACGCCAAACUAGCACAGACUGUUGAGGCAAGAAAGAUAGACACCUCAUGUGGAGUGCAAAGGAUUGAGAUGGUACAGAACUGCUAGGCACGUCUCCGCUCAGAUUAUUUUUCAUCGUGGAAAUUAGAGAAGCAAGCCGAGUCAGCAUCGGUCAAACACCUGCUGCUGGCAUGCCGAAAAAGGAGAGUAGAAAAGGAGAGUGGAGGCCCACUCCCGCAGAAAAGCAGCUAUCUAGUGACUGAGUGCUGCAUCUGCUUCUUAUGUUUGUGCCCUGCACAAUAGGCCACGGUAGGGCUGCACAGUCAUCAGAUAGGGGUUCUGGGCAGGCAGGAAGAGGCUCAGUCAUUCUUGCAGUGUAUGUUUUUAUUGGAAAACCCGCAAGUACAGUACUGUGCAUUUGCAGCAGUCUUCGCUCCCUCUAGUGGUACUCGGAGAUUCCUUCAGAGCUAAACAACAGCAGUGAAAAUGGACCAUUCUAAAGGGACAUUUUUGGCACGGCUGGUGCCACCACAAUAAACCUUAAAGCAAUGCAGCCCUUGUGUAACUGGAACUGGUUUCUGUUGUGUAGACUUGUAGAGUUGGAUGGGAUCCCAAGGGUCAUCUAGUCCAACCCCCUUGCAAUGCAGGAAUCUUGCCCACAGCCAUCCCUGGGUGGGCUUGAACCACCAACUUUGUGAUUAACUGCCAGGUGCACUGACGUAUUGCAUACCCUACAACAUUUAUCCAAUGAAAAUAGGGACAUCCUAUUCUAUAAUAAUUAUAAUAAUAAUGUUAUUAUUCAUAUGCCAUCCAUUAAACAUUUUUAAAAAUCCCUAUUCAAGGCUGCCUGCAGAUGUCUUCUAAAGGUUGUAUAGUUACUGAUCUCCUUGCUUCAGGGGUUGCAUAUCUCCAUACCCUCCAACAUUUCUUUGAUGGAAAUAGGGACAUCCUAAGGAAAAGUGGGACAUUCUGGGAUCAAAUCAGAAACCAAAAUGGCUUCUGUAAAUCUGGGACUGUCCCUGGAAAAUAGGGACACUUGCAGGGUCUGUUAUUUGCUCGUUGAAGCCCCUCCUAUUAGCAUUGACAGCAAGCCUGGGUGCCAACCUGAAUAAAAUAUUGUGGGGACCUAGCUAAACCCCACUCCACAUAAUCUAUCACAUGACACAGUGCACACACAACAUUUGAAUGGGAACACCCAUCAACUUGGGGGGGGUGGCCCCCUCAAAUAUUUUACUGUGGGGGCCGAAGCUCCCACGGCCCCUAGCACAUAUUGUAGCCCAACUUGAAAUAUAAAAAUAUUUGCUAGCUCCAAGAAACUUUGCUAUUAUUUUAUGCUUUGAAGUCUGUAGCAUCCUCUAACUAAGCUACCAUAUUAACUUCUUGUGGUUAUGAGAAAACUUAUUAAUAACAGACUGGCCUUAGGCAAAACAAUGCAGGGUAAUCUCUAUUUUUCAAGGGGUGUUUCAAAAGGACAUGGAGCUCUAGCUUGUCACAUUCAUUGUUUUGUUGUUGCUUUAAAACAUCAGUAGUAUUUUUACAACACAAUAGGUGCCUAAGAAAGAGGAUUUAGAGAUUCACUAUAAUAAAACACUGUCUGAAGAAAAUAAAACUGAAUCUUGUGAUGGCUUUAGAAAUUUCCAAACAUCUAACUGUGUAAUAAAUUGUGGUUGGCAAAGCUAUCCCCCCCCCAAUAGUGUAGGGGUAGUUUUAAAACAUCUGAUGUCUGAGGGGAUUUUUUGGGGAGGAGGUAUCUCAUGGCUUGUGGUGAGCUCAGGGGAAAGCUCUCAAGAUUCUUCAAAGUUAUGCUAGUAAAAUAAGCAAGAACCAUGAAGAUUCUUGUGGCAUGUUAAAGACUAUUAUGGCAUAAGCUUUCAUCAGAUGCAAGCUUAUUUCAUCAGGGGAAGAAGACUAUUCACAAAAGCUUAUGCCAUAGCGUAGCCACACUGCGCUUUUAAAGCACAUUUAAAACACACCUAGCUUCCCCCCAAGCAUCCUGGGAACCAUGGCUCAUUAAGGGUGCUGGGAACUGUAGCUCUGUGAGAGGUAAAUUACAGCUCCUAGGAUUCUAUGGGGGAAGGCAUGUUAUUUAAAUGUAUGGUGUGGACGCAUUCUUUAUUUUGUUGUGCCACAACACCCUUUCUUAAUUUUUCAGCAGCAGCAUGACUCCCCCUAUGGUUGUAGAGUAAAGCCCGUUUGGGGUGUUCCACUAACAUGUUAGACCUAUGUUGGAGCAGGCAAAGUGGGGAUGAGCUUGUUAAAUUCCACAAACACGCCUGCUUGUGGAGUGUGAAGGCCUGAGCUGAGCACUACUCAAGGAUUAAGCAGAGUCUAAAUUUCAUGGGAACUUCCACAGUUAGAAGGGACUCUCCACUUCAGACCUUCACUUUCCAUGAGUUGGAGGGGGGUGGGAAAAAGAGCUUAGCAUGCUUAUCCCUGCUCUCCCUGUUCAUAUGUAGGUUUUACACCCAAAUCAGGCUGACGUGUCAUAUAAAGGCAUGCAUUUUAUGGAGAAGUACUGAAGGUGGACUCUCCUUCAUUGGAGGCCUUUAAGCAGAGGUUGGAUGGCUAAUAUUCCUGCAUUGCUGUGGGUUGGGCCAGAUGACGCUUGGGGUCCCUUCCAAUUCUGCAGUUCUAUGAUUCUGUGAACAGGGAUGACUGAUAAGCUGUAUUGUUCAGUAGACAGUUGAAAGCAAACCCAAAUGUUCCUCUGCAUAAUGUGUGAAAUAGCUCUUAGGUGCCUCUGAUAGGACUUACAUUUAAUAAGAUUUUCUUCAUUACUUGGCAAAUGCAAACAGAAAUGGAAAAUGCUUUCAUAUGCACGUUGAAAGAUUAAAUUCAGCAUGAAAAUAAAUAUUAUUUGAGAAUUAGCUAUUAUUAAAUUCGUGUUUGUAUGGAUUAAUUAAAGCGCUUUUCACAAUAUCUAAGACGUGUGUGUUUGAAAAGAAGAAAUACUACACACAAUAGGAAUUUUACAGGUUCAUCAAACUCCUUUUGCCUUUUCCCUCGGCACCUUGAAAGAGUCCUAAGCAUGUCAGUCACAGAGAAGGGACUUGGCUCUCAGCCCGGCAAGUUUUUGUUCUGCCUCCAGCAGGUUUCUCUGACAGACGUGAUAGGGGAGGAAAGUGUUCCAAAUGCUCAAGUGCACUGCUGGGGGAUUCUGAGAUAGAAAUACAUUUUAAUGAAUCUUUCUUUCUUAGCCAACUUUGAAAAUGGCUGAACUAAACAGUCUCUCCCAUUCUUUCCCCAAUCAACCUGAUCGAAUAAAGGUGCUAAUAUAUUUAACUCCAGAAGGGGGAGCCAGCACCACAGCUAUGCGUUCUCUUCCAGACAAAAUGUCUACCUGCUGUUCUUCAAAAAGGUUAGGUGAAGUAAACAUCAUCACAAUUGCUGGGCUCAUACUAUAUCUAGGAUUGCUGCUUGCUGGCUGUGUCAUUAUCUCUUGAAAUAGACACUGUGGUUGAUGGUCCAGAUGACCUGUUUUUAAAUGGGAACAACAGGUUUGUGCAACAUCCAAAGUGAGAACAAAGCUAUAAGGCCAGCCCCCAGUUCUGCAUCUCUCUUUCUCUUCCAGGGAGAGUGUUUUUUCAGCAAGCUGAAGUGAAUAGCAUCACAUUCUUCCUUCCAUAGGGGAACCUCUUUAGGAAUUGGCAUUGUCACACCAUCGCCUGCUUGCCAACUCUCUUUUCAACACCUGGCAGCUUUUCUUGGGAGCAAAGGAAGCAGCUGUGCUUGUAAUAUUAUUUGGGGAAUUAAUGCAUGCGGAAGAAGCCAAAAAGAUUGGGCUGGAGAUGCACUUUACCUCUAAAGCUCUUUUGAGGGAAGAAUGGCAAAGGGACUGAUAAGCAAUCAAAUCACUGAAGUUUUUGAUGUUUUAAUUGUAUUCUUAGUUCUAACUCUUUGAUAAUAAUAAUACAAAAACCUAUGCAAAUUAAUUACCUGCAUUGCUUGCUUUAUAGUCUGUCCACCUGUUCAGAGAAACACUUAGUGCAGCAAAGGAAGCUGUUCUGGCUGCUUUUACUUUUUAAUAGAAUAAAUAUAUUCUGUUCCAGUAUGUUUUGGUCCUCUUUGCCUUUCUAUAUGUCGUUCUCCAUCAAUCAACAUGAUUCAACUGAAGAUGUCAACAAGAAGAAAAGUAGUGAUAACUGGAAGUAAAUAAAGUCUGGGACAUGUCUGGGGGGGAAAAAAAGUAAUAAUCAAAUGACAUAGCCUGGUUUUAUCAAUAGCAAGUGUUUCUGAAUUAUAUGUCAGGUUCCAAAGAUCUUGGACACUUUAUGGUGUCCUUUUUAUGGCAGAUUCAUGAUGGUUUGAGCACAAGAUGCUGUUGGGUCAGUCAUAUGGCAUCCCCCCCUUUCAAUAUUGCGUGUACCUGCGAAAGUUUUAAGGCGGUCACGCUGCUGCUUUUUCAUUCAGUGCAUAUUCUGUAACUUCUGCUGAAACCCCAUAACUUUUUAUACUACAGAUGGUCUGGUUUAUUUUUUCUUGCUUCCGUUGCAUCACCAAUUGUAUCACCAAUACAGCAAUAAUGUGGUAACAUUGGGGAAGCACAUCAAAGCACAAACUAAAGCAGAAUCAAAGAACCCCUAAUCCACUAUUUUUGUGUCAAGAGCAUGUUGUAGAAUCCACCUGACAUAAAGCAGCAGAGCGGAGGGGGCCUUUGACACUCAACUUUUCAUGCUGAUUUUGAUUUAGUCUGUUGAGUAAGAGUGCUUGUAUACCCAAUACUCAAGCAGAAACAGUGCUUCUAGACGUUCACUAUUUCCGAGUGACAAAUUCAGGAUGCACAAUUAGACUCGAUUUGGCGGUCUUGCACAAAAGGUCUUUUCCCUGUUUUAGGAUUAUUGCAUUCUGGUGCACUCAACUUGCGCUAGUACACUUUCGUUACGCUGAAGGCUUCAAGGAGCUUUAUAGGAAGCCAGCAGAAUUCCCUCCAAGCUGUAAUAUUUCCCAAAGCUUUUGAAAGAACUGAUGCCAGCUUCAACAGCAAAAAAGAGUGCCAAGCUUUGCAUUGUACCCCGGCAACAGCUAUCCAGCACAAUGCUUCUGCUCAGAAAUCUGCCUAGCAACCAGCGAGAGACGGAGGUGCUCCAUCUACAGAGCAAGAAGGGGAAUUGCACCUGACAAAGAGAAUACAGUAUGCGCAGCUUUCCUGCUAGUUGUCAGGUUGAUUCAUUUGUUGCUGUUUGUAUCUGGGUGUAGAGUUUUGCUGUGUUUUUAAGGAGGGUUCCUAACAAAAAGCUGUGCUCUGAAUUUUCUGUAUGAGCCAGGGCCAGAUAACAGCAAUGGAGUAGCUAGCUGGUUAUGCAUUACUUACAAUUCCCAGCACAAGCCAUGGACAUAUGUGUUUGUGUGUGGAAUGGUCUGUAUUUUAUUUUUAUUAAAUUGGGUAGUUGCUUUAUCUUGCCCAAGGCAACCCAAAGCAACUUACAACCAACCAAACAACCCCCUCUGCCCACAUAGAUAAAUUAAAACCAGGUAGGGGAAUGCAUUUAAAAAACACCCCACCCACUUCUAAAAGGCCACAGGUAGUUAAAGGCCAAAAGCCUGGUUAUAGAGGAAAGUUUUUGCCUAGUACAGUGGUACCUCAGGUUAAGUACUUAAUUCGUUCCGGAGGUCCGUUCUUAACCUGAAACUGUUCUUAACCUGAAGCACCACUUUAGCUAAUGGGGCCUCCCGCUGCUGCCGUGCCGCUGGAGCACGAUUUCUGUUCUCAUCCUAAAGCAAAGUUCUUAACCCGAGGUACUAUUUCUGGGUUAGCGGAGUCUGUAACCUGAAGCAUCUGUAACCUGAAGCAUAUGUAACCUGAGGUACUACUGUACCUAAAAAUAUAUCAUGAUGGCAAGCCUCCCUGGGGAGAGCAUCCCACUAGUGUGGAACCACUGCAGAAAAGGCCCUUUGCAAGGGCUGCUCACAUAAACGCAUAAGAAGAGGCCUGUUGGGUCAGGUCAAAGGCUCAUCAUAUCAACCCAGUGUCUAAGGUAAAGGUAAAGGGACCCGUGACCAUUAGGUCCAGUCGUGACCCACUCUGGGGUUGCGGCGCACAUCUUGCUUUACUGGCCGAGGGAGUCUGCGUACAGCUUCCGGGUCAUGUGGCCAGCAUGACUAAGCCGCUUCUGGCAAACCAGAGCAGCGCACGGAAAAGCUGUUUACCUUCCCGCCAGACGUGCUUUCGAACUGCUAGGUUGGCAGGAGCAGGGACUGAGCAAUGGGAGCUCACCCUUUUGCGGGGAUUCGAACCGUCGACCUUCUGAUUGGUAAGUCCUAGGCUCUGUGGUUUAAUCCAGAUGCCUAUUGGAAGCCCACAAGCAGGGCCUAAGUUCAACAGAUCUUCCCACUUGUGAUACCCCUUAACUCAAUAUAUAUAUAUAUAUAUAUAUAUAUAUAUAUAUAUAUAUAUAUACACACACUAUCCUGCGUCUAUGCCUUUAACAGCACCAUGACAGGACAGAAAUUUAGGAGAGGACAGAGGACAUGGAGUUAUUCUCAGUUGGCAGCAGGUAUAUUUAUACAUGAAUGCAAUGGUACAGAGAAGAGAAAUAAAAGCCAAAUGGCAAUGAAAUGUUAAAGGCACAGGAGCAAAGCUCAUGUUGGCAAUACUAAUGCCAUGUGCCUGAAGCAACUGAAAAACCUCCCCAUGUGGAGGUGGCCCUAAUUAGCAGCAAUAAAAGUUUUGAGGAGGAAAGAGAUGUUUAAAACAACAUCAACAAAAAAUACCCCUCCAAAUAGCCAUAUUGGAAGAUGGAGAGGGAACCAGCAGGAAGGUGAAACCUGAGGAGUAUUUUCAAUUACCUUUUAAUGUGAUUUGGAAAAGAAAGUCGAAAAGUUUGAUCAGGGGCUAAUUAAGCAUAAACAUACAUUAACUGUUAGGGGCAGGGACCGCAUAAAUCAGGCCUUCUUGGAGAAUUACCACAGGAAGCAGUGAAAACGACUAGUCUUUUUGUAGUUAUUUUCAAAUAGCACAUUUUCCCAGCAGUCCUCCAAGGGAGAAUAUCAAAGCAUGACAUUGAAACAGCAUCAGUCUAUAUUCUCCGAAACCGUAUUUCCCUUCCUUAAUUGGCUCCUGCCUGCUUUAAUAGCUUCAUAAAUGUUGCAAGGGAAUAAUUAAAUUGUACAUCACUUGAAGUUGCAGACAGCACCAAGCUAGGAGGGAUUUGCAAACACACCAGAGAAGAGAGCCAUGACAAAGUGUCCCAAUGACAUUUCAGAGAACUUGAGAACAAAGCUCCUGUGGAACGAGAUAAAUAAUGGAUGUGCCAACGGCAAAUCUUGCCCCUAUCUCUCCAGCUGCAGGAGCUUUCUUGGCAGAGGAGCUGGUGCAAUGACAUAAUGCAGGGACAUAAUCAACUCAGCCAGAUCAUAAAAAUCUAUUCUCACAACUGCGGUGGUCUGGAUAAACCAGAUUCCAAAAAGCCUCUCUCUCUCUGCUCAUUAUAAUAGCCAUUUUGCUGCCAUGUAGUCAAUUCUUCCCUCAAGGUAGCCAUCUUCACUAUACAGUUGUAAGGAGACCCCUGUUCUCUUCACAGAGCUAUGAUUCCCAGAGUUCCCUGGGAAGAGGGAAACAACUUUGAAAACUGUAGCUCUGUGAGGGAAAUAUGGGGUCUCCUAACAGCUCUCAGCACCCUUCACAAACCACAGUUCUCAGGAUUCUCUGGGGGAAGCCAUGACUAUUUAACAAAAUGCACUGCACAAGUGCAGAACUUUACAUUUGUCCCUAUUGAAAUUCAUUUUGUUAGUUUUGGCUCGGUUCUCCAAUCUGUUAAAUUCCUCCUAGUUUGGUGCCAUCUUCAAACUGGAUGAGCGCCCCCUCAAUAAAGAUGGCGCUCCACUUGUCACUUUUUCACAGGAUGAAUAGGAACUGUUAGUGAGCAUUUUGGGGGUUUGUUUGGUCAGUCAAUCAGCUACGAAUCCACAGUUAUCUUAUCCAGUCCACAUUUUACCAGCUUUUCCACAAGAAUAUCAUGGGGAACUUUCAUUGUGAGAAGUAAAAGUUAGUGAGGAGAUGACUGUGUGUGCGAUUUUUCAGAAAGCUUGUUACAAAGAUAAAUUGGCAAAGCACAGCAGAACUGUCACAGUUCAGCUGACAAUGCAUUUGUAUCCAUUCUAUGCUCCUUUCAGUGCUCCAGGCUAGCACCAGGUUUGAAUGGGCCCUGCAGAAAGCGCCCCUUGGAAUGCUACUGGUGUACCUGGUGCCAGGUGUACCUGGUGGUGGCACAGGCAGGCCUCAGGACAGGACUGGGCAGAUGAGUCUAGCAUCAUUUCAAUGGGGCAUCAUGGGUAAUUAAAAUGGUGGUUGGAUACAGCCACCUGGUGCUGCUUGAACUGAUGGGUGAGAUUUAAAAAACAAGAAAUGGGAGUCCAGGACUGGCAUUAGUGCUGAGCUGCAUUUCAUGCUGAAGCCCCACAGCUGCCCAAGGAUCAUGGGCAGACCCCCCCCCCCCAUAUUCACAUCCAUUUUGCUUUUGCCAGAGAACUGGUGGGUUUAAUCUGAGCCACUGCUCGCUGGGAUUUGGCCCCAAAUCUGCUUCAUCACCAUGGCCCAUGCUGAGAAUCUGUGAAAUAUGAGCAAAUGGAAUGCCUCUGAACAUGUGCAAAGUGCUUGCACACACUGCCAAAUAGGCCUUAUGUCAGCUGUAACAAAGAGCUCUAGACUGAAAGGUGUCGGGAUCUUCUCAUCAGAAAGAAAAUGAAUGUUAUUUUGAUAUUUUUGUUGUAAGUCGCCCAGAGAACUCUGCUUAUGAACUAGCAAGCCCCCCUACCUCCGACAUAUAAUUUAGUUACCUAUAUUUGCUGUAAACAUUUACUGGUUUUGUGUUUUAAUGAUGAUUUUAUGUAUAGUUUGUUUUUUAAUUGUGUUGUGUAUUUCAGCUGUGUUUUAGUUACAAUUGUAACUAAACACCUUUUGGUAGGUGAUUUAUCAAUCUUCUAAAUAAAUAAAAUGAGGGAAUAAAUAAAUAAGAGAGUAAAUAAAUAAAUGCCUGUAUCCAUUUACUUCUAAUGAGAAUUAUGAAUACUUUCUGCCCAGCCUGCUUUAUUUUUCUCUAUGCCUAAUGUUUGAGCUAAAGCUGUACAAAUGUACAGUGGUACCUCUAGAUACGAACGGGAUCCGUUCCGGAGCCCCGUUCGCAUCUAGAGGUAAACGUAACUAGCGAUGGCACGUCUGCAAACGCGCACGUCGCUUUUCGGCGCGUCUGUGCAUGCGCGUGACGUCAUUUUGAGCGUCUGAGCAUGCGCAAGCAGCGAAACCCGGAAGUAACGCGCUCCGUUACUUCCGGGUUGCCGCAGAGCGCAACCGAAACGCGCUCAACUCGAAGCGUAUUCAACCCGAGGUAUGACUGUACAAAUGUAAUCAAGAAAGAAAGAAAGAAAGAAAGAAAGAAAGACGAUAACAAGCCUCACAUUUUAAAUGUGGACAAAGGUGGUCACUGAAAUACCCAUUUUGUUGGAUCUCUGUCUCCAAACAUUAUUUUGGUUGAAAGAGAGAAAUCCAUCCAGUUUGACAGUGCAGGCUGGAGAUAUGGUACAAUUCAGAAAGUUAGAUGUGCAAUUUGGAUUCCUCAAUCCAGCAUUAGUUCAGAGUAAACAAUUAUUACAAACACCCAUAGGCAUAAAAUCCUACUGCGUUUAAAAGUAUUUUAUCUUUUCUUUUGCAUAAAAAACUCAGAGCCAUUCUCCUAUUUUUCUCUUUACUCAAAUCUGAAAAAUAAGAAUUUUAAUUCUUGAGCUUCCAGGCUUGUCUUUGAAUAUGCACAUUUACAUUGAUGAAUUCAUUUGUGCUAAUGACAUAUUUGAAAGUAGCCAUGGGCUAAUGUAUAACUAAUUAUUAUUAUUAUUAACAAUGACUGACACAUAAUGCAAAAUUCAUACCAUUGUUAUCCUGCAUUUCCAAGCAGAGUGAUGCUUCCCCGUUAUCAGAGUUCUGAUCCUUCUUGUGAGCUCCUAAGUGAUGCACCCCAUGCUGUGAGUUGUGGUCUACCUGUAUGAGGUGUGGUCCCAUCUACACCAUGCACUUACAGCACAUGGCUUCCCCUUAAGAAUCCUGGGAACUGUAGUUUGUUAAGGGUGCUGGGAAAUGUAGCUCUGUGGGUAUUAACUAUAGUUUUCAGCAGUAGCAUCUAGAGCAGCGGUUCUCAACCUGUGGGUCCCCAGAUGUUGUUGGACUACAACUCCCAUCAUCCCUGAGCUCUGGCCUUGCUAGCUAGGGGUGAUGGGAGUUGUAGUUCAACAACAUCUGGGGACCCACAGGUUGAGAAAGGCUGAUCUAGAGGCUGUGCAGCUGGGAAAGUAUUGCCCUCCUGGCUUCCCAACAUAGCAAGCUGCUGUUUCUUACUGAGAGGCAGCAGGAAGGGGGUGCGAAGUGGGGAGCUUGGCAGUGGGAAUGACAGACUGGCUCCACUUCCACAUGCCACAUUGCACCAAGCCUCUUACACCAUGCUGCUGGUGGUCCCCAGGAUGCUUUGAGGGAAGCCAUGAUUGUUUAAAAGUGGUAUAAAUGUGCUUUAAGCUUAUGGUGUGGGUGUGAUAUUUGUUGCUGUAAUGUAUUAGGAAUUUAUAAGCAUUUGCAAACAAGGAAGUGGGCAAAGUCAUGUUAAUUGUGUUCUUCACAACUCAAGCAAUGGACAUAUCUGUCUAAAGGAGCAGUCCCUAAAGGCCAUUAAGUCCAGGCUCCAAGAUUACCUGGCCCCACCACUGAAAGGCUCAACCACACCAGCAACUGGUUUUGUCCAAGUAUACUCUUUUUUUAUUGCAGAGAUAGUAACAGAUCACUGAAAUGAGGAACAUUCUGGACGUUAGAAAGGUAAGGUGGCGUUUGUCAACUCUAGCAGAACUUUAAAAUCAUUUGAUGAACAGUGAUCCACUUGUUGCAAUACCUCUCCUUCCACAAUGUGCUGCUCUCAUCAUCAUUGUGACGUGUGCCCCAAUUUUCUGAACGAUGUGCAAGUCCAGGUGCAGCGCUUACCUGGGUUUGGUUCGCUCUGGAAAGAGAGAUGACUGGAGUUUUAAGGUGUAUCUGUAAUAUUUGAGUUUCUUUACAAAGAUGCAAGUUGAGCAUAGGUUGGAGGCACAGCUUAGCACCUCAACAAAUCAGCCACAUCUACCUCCCUAGGUCAGAUUCUCAGAGAGCAGUUCCCACACCUGCAAAUCCUUCCAGGUUCAUUGCUAACUCUCCCUUCUUUUGUCUGGGCAGCUUUCUGGGCCAUUUACCUGUAAUUUCCUUAAGAAUAGAUGUGGCUGGCAUACUUAGUCACUGACUAUUAAGCUGAUUUAAGCAGCCCUUCUGGGCACAUUAACCCUCCCCUUUCCAAACCUCAAACUUAAACAUUCAUUAUUUUUAGCAACCAAGUUGAAUUUUCAUUUCUAAAUUCAGUGAACUCCUACUUUGGAACAUCAUUCCUCUGAGUCAAAAUUUCCAAUACACUGCUCCACCAUCAUGUUCUGCUUCCCCCCAUUGCUUUUGAGCCUAAAUUUUGCCUUACCAACUUCUGUCUACCUUUGGAGUUCUGGGAAUUCUAAACUUGCUACAUAGCCCUCACAGGGGAAUUUGCAAAAUAACUGAGGAUGUAAUUGCAGGAUUUCCUAGAUGUAAACCUUUGCAGAAGGAUGCUUAUUUAGUUUUGGAAACCACCAAGGAAAGGAACUAAUCAAUGCCCCUGGGCAUCUUCUUCCAUUGCCCAGAUGUUCUACUCAGUGUUACUUUCCCCUGAUAUGCAAAGUAAAACUGUAGUGAGCACCACUCAGAGAAGGAAACCACAAACUGCUGCUUGUAACAGUUUUAAACCUGGACAUAUCUGUGAACUUCCUGCUAGAUUCCUGUUGGGAUGUUCAUGGAUGCAGCUCCAGAGAAGUUGUGCGGAUGAUUAUUACAGUUCCAUAUUUUCAACCAUUGUUGUCCCUCGGGAGACUGAGAUGUUAGCGGUUCCCACAUUCCAAUACUUUAUCAGAAGGGGAAUACCUGUGAUAGUCUUUUGGCUUGUGUUGUCUACUAGGAAGGAUGCCAAGAGGUGUACUCCAUAUUGCUUCCCACAUGCCAGAGAUGGAGAACCGGUGGGUUCCUGAUGUUCUUGGACUCCAGCUCCCAUCAGCCCCAGCUAGGUAAUAGUCAGGGAUGAUGGGAAUUGGAGUCCAAGAACACCCCCGCCCUAAGCCAUUCCACAAGCCCCGAGUGCAUGGGGAGGGGGUUCCCUGCUGCUUGCAACUACAACUGGUGUUUCUUGCACGUCCCAUGGCAGUCUUCAAGGAACCUGAAAGUUCCUAUCAUGUCAUGAUUUUGUCUUCUUUAAGCAGUUUAAUAUAUGCCCAGUUUCUUCAGCUAUUCCUAUCACAGGCAAAACUCUUAUUUAUUGCUCCCAUCUGAACACUAUUUUAAAGUUAUUAACUUUAACAAUUUACUCAACACCGUGACUGGAUCCAAUCCUCACAGAAAAUACAGGAUAAUUAGUCUGAUAACUCAUGCUUCCAUUCCACCAUCUUGCCGUCUCUAGCGGCCACAUUUUAAAAAUCCAUCUUCUUACAGCUUUCCUUUACUGUUCUCAAGCAUACAGUACAAUUACCACUAACUUCUGCUUUCAUUUGUCUUCCUCUGCACCUGCAAAGGACAUCAAUGACAAAAGAGACCAUAACUUAAAAUGAAAGAUAGGUUCAAGAUCAUGGUCAAUAACAGCUUCCAACCCAGGCUAAUAUGGAGCAGGGGCUUUCAUGGGGAUCGGGCAAAUGGGCUACCCCCCUCUUUCCCGUGCCAAGGCCUCAAUACUGUUUGUGCUGCUGUGUCUCAAAACCCCUCAGAUAUGUAAAAUGUGACCACACAUUUAAUGCAACUUGUAGUUGGCCCCUAGUCUUAGUUAUCUGUUUUUAGUUAUCUUAGUCCACAAACCAGAGUCAAGAACAAAAUGGAAGCUACAUGAAAAAUGGUGGUAAGACCUAGUUAUCUAUUCCACUCUAUGAGCCAUACACUGGGAUGUCCCACAUGUGCAAGCAAAAAUUUACACCAGUUACUACAGAUUAGAAUUAUAAACUUUUUGAAGUGUGUGUGGGGGACAUUAUUGCUUGUUGCUAUUAUUAAGCAAUGUGGGAGACAGAAGCCCUUGCCAGCAGUAGCGGUUGGUGGGGUGGCACAAGCUCAUCUGGCUUCGUAAUGCUGUGCAUUGCAGUCAGUUACUGAGGGGACUAGGGGCAAGGCAGUAGCAUUGGCUUGGUGUAGGGCAGGCACAGUGGUGGAGGCAAUUGGAUGCUCCCACUGCUGUAACUGCAUUCAGUGGCAUAGGAAGGGGGGUGCGGUGGGUGCGGUGUGCCCCGGGUGUCAUCCCUGAAGGGGGUGACAAAAUGGCUAUGAGCUAUGUGAUGCGGUGGCUUGGGCACCUGCAGGCUCCACACUGCCCAAAAUGGCAGCGUGGGGCUUGCAUUCGCCCACUGCCUCUCCCUCAGCCACCCUACAGCUGGGGGGGGGGGCAGUGGCGAGGCUCAAUGCAGCGUGCCCUGCCCCAACUUGCCCCGCCCCUGGGCAGAGGGCACAUGUGAUGCUCCAGGCACCUGAGCUACACUGCUGCAUGUGUGUGUGUGUGUGCUGGUCCCGUGGGUUACCCGAGAGGCAAGGUCCAAGUCCGGUCCGUGGUCAAAGGUGCAACGAGGAGGCAGUCUGUAGUAGCUGAAGCUGGGUGCAGGGCAGGGAGUCGGGUGAAGUCAGGAACAGGCUUGAAAGCAGGGAGCCAGGGCGGGUCAGGAGCUCAGGCAGGAAAGCAGGACAGGGUUCAGGCAGGAACUAGCAACCAACAAUUUUGCUCCCACAACUUGGGACUGGGGCUGGCCGGCUUUUAUCUGCCCCGAGGCAUAGGGUGGCCUCAAUCCUCUGGUGACUCGCCUCGCCUCUCCUGGCCUGGAGGGAGCACUCCUCCUGCGGGAACUUAGUUCCCUCCGCCUCUCUGCCCUGAGCCUCUGCAGCUCAGGAGAGACUGGAGGGUUACUGGACCCAGAGGCAACCUCAGCUUCCUCUGAGGGGGCUGAGAGUGGAGCACCUGCAGGCAAUGGGUCCUCCAUCACCUCAGGAGCCAGAGGAGACUCAGCUGAUGCCUGCACCUGUGGAUCCAGUACAGGUGAGGACCCUUCAAGCUCAUGCCUCAGCUGGUUCUGGAGGCAGGGAAUCCUGUGCAGGCUGGGAUCCCUCAGGUUCAGCAUCCGAGUCCGAAUCCUAGGCCAUCACAGUGUGUGUGUGGCGGGGGGGACCAGCUGCAGAUUGCAAACGACAGGAGCAAAGCAUAGCAAACAGGUCUGCAACCAACUACCCCUCUAAGAAGGCUUCAGCUGGGCAAUUUGGAAUGGGCAGCAAGCAGAGGGGUGCUGUGGGUGCUGUGGUCCUGGGCCCAAUUUUGGGUCCUUCACUGGAGCCUGACUCUGUGCCAGAAGGAGCUGUGCUUUGGCAGCGGUGCUUGUGCCUGGCACAGCUCUGCAGGGGCUGGGUCAGGCCUGGCCCAGGGAAGGAGAGCAGGUGAGUGGGUGGCAGCGCUGCUGCCCGCCCUCCUCGGCCACUGCAGCAGCUCUACCACCAAGUCGCUUCUGACCUGGCGGCGGAGAGCAGGAGAGUCAGCGGCAAUACAGCUGCCCGCCCUCCUCGGCUGCGAGGCACCUCUUGCCUGGCUGCAGCAGCUCCCUAACCCUGAACUUUGACCCGCGGAGGGCGUCCUAUGCACACCGCCCCCUUGGGGGCGUGCUCUGCAUGCCCAUCCCGGGUAGCGUAGGCAUACGCUCCACUGCUGCCUGCAAUGCACUGAGCUCCCCAAUGCGUUGCCUCCCCCUCCCUCUCAAUCAGUGGCAAUACCACACAGUGUUGAGAAACCAGGUGAGCAAUGCUGCAAUGCCUGGCUGGCCUGCCCUGCUAGCUGCCCUGCUUGCCCGUCAACUGUAAAUCACCCAGUGAUCUAUCAGCAAUCAAUGCAUGAGACAUGCUGCAGACAUAUAUAUGAAAUAUCAAACAUACCAUGGUUUGUGGCAUAUUCCACAUCAUUUUGCUUCCUCUUGUGACUAGGCAUCUUUCACUUGGGAAGGGCUUUAUAUUCACACUCCAGUGUUUUUCUCUCAACUCAACUCCCCUCCCCUCCAGUUCUUAAAACCAUUCCACGCAAGAGUGGGUCCUACAGUUUGGAUUUUAGCAAGUUCCCAAUCUCCAACUCUGCUUUAAGGUAGCCUUUGAUAACGAUGCAGAAAUUGGUUUUCCCCCAGAAGUGACUUCAAACUUCACAGAAGUUUAAAUUUUUCAACUCUUGUCCAAUUUUUUUACUUUUUAUUAUUUUAAAGCAACUGCAGUGUUAUUGGUUCUCUGAACUGGUGUAUUCAGACACCGGCAAACUUUUGAUAUAUGAAAAGCUGCUUUCUAAGGCACUUCGGGAACAUAAAUCUUGCUGGAAAGAAAUGUGUGGACUUUAGUACUUAUGCUUUUACAAGAAGCAUAAAAUGUUCAGUUGUGAUUUGACCUGGGACUACCAUUAGUCCUCUCAAUUUGCUUUAGGGAUUUGAGAGUAUUUGGUGAUCAAAUCCUGUUGUAUUUCAUGGACAUGUAACAGUGCUGAAACCCUGGAGGAAGGGACUGGUCUCAGAACUGCUACUCAGUUGACAUUCUCUACUUAGGUACCAAUACAUGAACAGAGCGAAUAUGUGUUUAGGUACCUGGUACAGUGGUACCUUGGGUUAAGAACUUAAUUUGUUCUGGAGGUCCAUUCUUAACCUGAAACUGUUCUUAACCUGAGGUACCACUUUAGCUAAUGGGGCCUCCCACUGCCACCGGCCACCGCCAUGCGAUUUCUGUUCUCAUCCUGAAGCAAAGUUCUUAACCCGAGGUACUAUUUCUGGGUUAGUGGAGUCUGUAACCUGAAGUGUCUGUAACCCGAGGUAACACUGUAGCUGGGAAUGUUUUAUAUCAUCUCUCUAUAGACUUGUGUGGUUUAAAAUGAAACAAAAGCAACUGUAACAAAUCCAUGCUGUAUCAUUUCACAGAUGGAUUUCACAGUUUAGAAUUCUUCUAAAAUCUACAGGUGAGCCUCAUAUAUGCUUGGAGUUAUGCACAUGUGUUUAAAACAACACCUCCCUAUUUGAUCAACACUGAAACAAUGAUUAGGAAAGGAUCCAGGACUUGUUUCAGUGUUUACGGCUGUGAAAGGAGAUUCCACAAGGUGGCAGAAUUUCACACAGAAUUUCCAGUAGUUUGGUAAGCAUAAGACUGCAGGUGGGCUCACUUGACUAAAGCUGUUGUUUUCAUUAUGGACCCCAGCUUUACUUUGCUCCCAGAUGUAGAAUUGACAGCCAUAUUAUGGAGAAGGUAUUGCCACUGCACAUUUAAGGCUGCAGAUUGCAUUCCAUUAUUACCUCAUGUCUGGAAAAAAGAGAGAAAAGGGCUUAUUUAUUAAAUUAAACAUGGCAAGUGAUUGGAAGGUGAUGUCUCACUAGGUCACAUAUUAUGUUAAGGAUGCUUCAAAAAUGCAGCCUUAAAUGUACAAUGGCAAUACCUUCUCCAUAACGUGAUACAGCAGCAAAAAUAGCUCAUGUUAUUUUAGGUUGCAUCAACAGAAUUAUAGUGUCCCAAUGACAGAAUCAUAGAGUUGGAAGAGACCACAAGGGCCAUCGAGUCCAACCCCCUGCCAAGCAGGAAACACCAUCAGAGCACUCCUGACGUAUGGUUGUCAAGCCUCUGCUUAAAGACCUCCAAAGAAGGAGACUCCACCACACUCCUUGGCAGCAAAUUCCACUGUCAAACAGCUCUUACUGUCAGGAAGUUCUUCCUAAUGUUUAGGUGGAAUCUUCUUUCCUGUAGUUUGGAUCCAUUGCUCCGUGUCCGCUUCUCUGGAGCAGCAGAAAACAACCUUUCUCCCUCCUCUAUGUGACAUCCUUUUAUAUAUUUGAACAUGGCUAUCAUAUCACCCCUUAACCUCCUCUUCUCCAGGCUAAACAUGCCCAGUCAAGGUAAGUCAUAUUCUCUCUUGGUCCAACCACAUCUGGAAUACUGUGUCCACUUCUGGGCAUGAUAGUUUAAGAAGGACAUUGACAAGCUAGAACGUGUGCAGAGGAGGGCGACCAAUAUGAUCAAGGGUCUGGAAACCAAGCCCCAUGAGAAACAGUUGAGGGAGAUGGGUAUGUUUAGCCUGUAAAAGAGGAGAUUGAGAGGAGAUAUGAUAGCCAUCUUCAAAUAUCUAAAGGGCUGUCACAUGGAGGACAGAGUAAGCUUGGUUUUUCCUGCUCUAGAGGCUAAGACCUGAGCUGAUGAAUUCAAGUUACAAGCAAAGAAAUUCUGACUAAACUUCAGGAAGAACUUUUUGAUGAUAAGAGCUGUUUGAUGGUGGAAUGGACUCCCUUGGAAGGUGGUGGACUCUCCUUCUUUGGAGGAUUUAAAGGAGGGGGUGAAUGGUCACCUGUCACAUAUGAUCUAGUUGAGAUUCCUGCAUUGCAGGGGGUUGGACUAGGUGACCCUCAAGGUAACUUCCAACUCUACAAUUCUAUGGUGCUAUGAACAGUAUGUUGGACUACUGGCCUGAUUCUACAGGCUCUUCUUAUGUUCUUAUGGGUUACUACCAGAUCUUGCCCCAUGAAGCCCUAAAUGGCUUAGGACUAAGUUACCCAAAGACCUACCUUGCUCCAUAUAACCCUACCUGAGAAUUGAGAUCUUCCACAAGGGUCCUUCUAACCAGUGCUAUUUUUCUAGAAAAAGAGGUGCCGGAGCUCACAAUGAAUGCCUCCAUUUUUCUGUAAUAAUGGCAAUGGCGCCCAAACUGAGAGGUACUGGACCUGAGUUCCUGCGAGUUCUAGCUGAAAAAAAGCCCUGCUUCUAACUGUCCCAUCAGGUACCCAUUAGGCAACAAUGCAGAGGAGGUCCUUUUCUGUGGUCCCCUUGCCUCUGAAGGUUCCUCCCCAUGGGAUGAAAGAGCGCAAGAAUGUAAUAAGAGCCCUGCUAGAUCAGGCCAACAGCCUAUCUUGUCUAGCAUCCUAUUCUCACAGUGUUCCCGUGGGAAGGCUGCAAGCAGGACACAAGCGCCUUAGCACUUUCCUCACUUGUGAUUCCCAGCAUCUGGUGAUCUGUGUGGCUUCUUCCCUGCUUGCAUUUAGGAUGGUAGUUAAAGCUUUUCUUUUGAACCUUCCUAGUUUUUUGGACUGCCAUAAGCUCCAUUGUCUCUGUUGCUUGUUGUUAUUGUUUUACUCCUUUCAGCGUGCACUGCUCUGAUCUCCUUAGGGAGGAAAAGUGGAAUAUAAAUGUUCACAAUACUGCGUAAUAUCUUAAACUUUGCCCUGAGUGCUACAGUAAAAGGAACACCUGCCAAACUGCUUCUAAGAUCCCCAUUUCUCAAUACAUCAAAGGAAAGUUCAAGAGACAUUACUGGACAAUGAUCUUGGCAGGAUAUAAUUAUGCAGGAAGAAGCUUCUCCUUUAUGGCCAUCAGCUCUGCUUCAAAUAAAGUGCAGAGAUUUAUAACUUUUGAAAAAAUGCUAUUUAAUCUCUCUUUCUUUCUGUGUAAUAAAGAUUAGCUGUUUCCUUAGCAGCAGAAUGCCAUCAUCAUUGGCAGUAAUAUCUUCUUCUAAACCUCUUAUGUGCAGAAGCAGAGGUUUAAAGUGCAACGCUGCCGUCAAAAGCCAGCCAGCCUCCCCUGGUGCUGAGAUGAACAAAAGGACCAAGGUCCUUAGCAAUGCUACAGCCCUUUGAUCUCUAAAAGCCACUCGAGCUGGAAAGCAGCUGUUCUUCUGUAGAUCUAGUUGCUCGCCCCCUACCCUCUCUGCUUUUCAUGGCAACUUGCCAGAGUUCCCUUUGUCCUUCCAGUGCUAACUCAUACUGUAGGUAAGGCAUGCUGUUCGAGGAGUAGUUCUGAGGAAGCCUUGCAAAGUUGCUGAAAAGCCUAUUUUGGGGGUUGGCUUACACUGCAUCUCAUAAAGUUAAAAUCAGGGCCAAGCGGGGACCAGCAAAGCCCUUUUCUUUCCAAAGCCUGCCAUCUCAUUUGGUGCGGUGUGUUCCUUGCAAGCAUGUGUUAGGACGUUGCCUGCCAUCUUUCUACAUUUUACGUGGUCAUACAAGCCCUUCAUGUCUUGGGAUGUUACUGAUCAGAUCCCCUGCUUUAUCUUGCUUGAGUCCCUUUGUGUAAAGUGCCCUUGUCUGGCAUUGUAUGUAGGGCUCAUUCGCACUUUCCUUUUGCCAUGUCCGAGUACUUUUUCUGCCCCAGCAUCUUCCCCACAAAAACCCGCUCUUUAAAGCUGAAUUGGAACAAGAAGCAAUUUGAGCCUGUAGUCUCCACUGCCAUCAGUUGCACACCAACAUUGUUCUACCACUCUCUGUAAACUGUAGCCAUCGACUUUAACAUUAAUACAGCUAUGGGCCUUUCUGCUCUUACUGUUUAUAGUGGUAUAGUUGCUGUUUGAUCCAAUGUUUAAGAGUGAAUUCGUAACUGAUUGUCUUCAACUUUGGUUGCAUGUUCCUGCUAUUGGAGAGUAAACCCAACAUGGUGGAUUGUGACCAAAUUGAGAACUGUUCUGUGGCUAUAGCUACACCCCUUAUGUACCACUGUCUUCCUCUAGUCAGUAAAUUUCAGCAUUAUGAGCAUGUGCACAUGGAAAACCCUAUUGCGGCUUAAAUUUUUUUUAUUUAAUGCCCAAUAAUCCAGAAUUCUAAUCCUGUGGAAAUAUAGGAGAAUAGAAGGAACUAUAUGUCUGUCCGAGCUAUGGUAAAGCCUGGUUAUUGUGAUGUAAUUUUGUCUGCAUCUAAUGAUUGUUGUACUAUGAUUUAGUACCAUUGUCUCUACCUGCAAUAUCUCCCCUGUAAACUGAGUUCACAAACUGACAGCUCACACCAUGCCUGCCAUCCCUCAACCCCCCCCCCACUCAGAAACCAGGACUAUGCUUGAACACAUGCCACACAAAUGAAAAUACUGAGGAAUCAUUCCAGAUCCUUCACAGAAGUUGGAUUAUUAUUAUUUUUUGCUGUAAAAGAAAAAGCAUUUUAAUGGGUAUAUUAUUCUGGAAUACUAGCUGAAUAAUGAUGACAUUGUGUUGCAGCAUUCCCCCAAAGUCUGAAAUCCCCCAGCAACUAUUUCAGUAGAAAUGGUAAAUGUGGAAAGACCCUAAGGUGACCAUUCUGUCCCAUUAUGCCAGGAAGCUGAGAAGUAUGUGAAUUUGCAUUUGGAUCUAGUGAUCCGCCUACAGGCAUUUGGCAGCUCAUAUGUGGGGGAGUGAUAGCGAAGUUCCUCCGCUAGGAAUAUAUUCUGAAAUGCUUCAAAAAUAUCCAAUUGAAUGAGUAUAUUUAAUUGUCUGACACCUGACGGUUCUAUUGUCCUCUCAAAUUGUAGAUUUAAACUUUUGAUGCUCCUUGCUUCAAUGGAGACCAAAGGCAUCUGGAAGAGCUCAGAGCUGAGCCAGCUUUGGCAAGACACAGUCAUUUCUUUGUGGACACACCUCCUGGUCUUGAUGUCUCCAUCAUUCUAUGCAACACCAAGGCAAAUCAUCUGUAUCUUCAUCUAGCUCAUCUUCUUUGCAGGGCUGUUCUAAAUGUGACUGAAU